UUUUGAAACACCAGUUUUCUACACUUUAUAACCAUGUUUCACUAUUGUCAUCUGUAGACAGGAAAGGAAAAGGAUAAGGUGUUUUCACAGCCACCACUGCGGAGACUUGGCUAAGCAUUAAGGGAAAUUUUGCCUCGGAGAUCUGGCAYUAUUUGAAAGAGGUGGAACAGGCUAUGUAGAACCUACAACAGGUUGAAGACCCUUCAGGAAACACACUCAUGAGAACGUGCCACUGGAGCAGUGCACUGUGGCAUAUCGCAGCUAUAAGUCUCAUGGAUUAAAGUGACAGCAGUCUGUCUGCACUGCCACAGCUGUCUACCACGUUCCUGCUGCACCUAAGAGUGGGAUUUGUAUGGACUCAAAAGGACAGAUAUCACUUACUUACAGACAGGGACCGUUUCUAUGUGGCUUUGUACCUGCUUGGGUUGGUCCUGUAGUGCCUUCUCUAAGAUUUUCGACAGAUUCCAGGACACUUGGUUUGGGUGUGGCAAAACUAGCGCACACUCCACCCAGCCAUGGCAGCGGUGCUGUGGGAUUUGAAGCGUUCACCAAGUUGAAGUUUAACCCCAGAGGAGCACGAGUCUAUUGGGAUGAUUUGAAUCUUUGCCAUCAUUUGGAGCAGAAUGAAGCUCUGUAAAAGGAUAGUAACUGAAAGCCAACUGGAUUGUAAUUAGCUCGGGCAUUGCAGGAAGCAGCUGAUGCAUAGUUUGUGUUGGAAGUAAGGCAGACAGAAGGAUUAUGACUCAAUGGUAAAGAGGCCCUGGCCUGGUGGCCGUAUUCUGACCCAAGGGUGUUUUCUAGGCUUGCUGCAGUGAUGGGCCCGGGAUAGCUGGUGGUUGCACAUACACACAUCACUACAGAAAGCACAAAGGCUCUAGAGAUUCACACGUAACUUCUCCUUUGUCAGAAGGUGCUAAUUUUGCAGUGAUGCUGGCAUACUGCUGCCCCAGCAGUAGGAAGGCUAGCUCCAUCUUCCUUCCAUAGUAAUCGGUGCAAACGUGCCCUAGUCUUAAAGCAUGGUGCUUUGGGAAUGAGAAGCUUCAUCAUUUUCCUUGGCUUUUUUCUUUUUCAUGAAGUAUAGGGUGCUUAGAGCUAUAGAAGCAGUGCAAGAAAAAUAUUAAUGAAUAACCAUGCAGCGCAGACAUUAAUGCAUUCCUUUCCCUUGAAACAACUGGCUUUUCUCUGUGGGCUUCAUAAAAGAAAAAUGUCUGCAGAGUCUGAAUCUGUUGUUUAGAAGCCAAAAUAGAUCGAGAUUUAGAAACUUUGCUGGCCUAUAUUGCUGAAAUGUUACCACUGCAUUUAUCAUGUGGCAAAAAAAAUCUUUUUUCUCUAUCUCUCUGCCAAAUGAUAACCCUGUAAUGGCAAGAUAAACUUAAGGCAAGGGGUAGUUCUUGAGGUUCUUCUGGCUUAUGAAUCUCUGGGUUAUGGAGAAUGUGAAAGAAAAGUGAUUUCAAUCACUSCCCACUCGGGGCUCUACAGACGUUGGGGAGGAGAAAUUAAAAUGUUGCAUUAUCUCAUCUUUUGGGAUCAGAUAUCGAGAAAUUUUUCACAAGUUGUUAUACUAAAAUGUGUUGGUCAUUAAGCCACUGUUGCUCACAAAUUUCCACUAAUGCGCAAUGUUUUGUAGUUUUAUGGCC
ensembl:lncRNA